rnacentral:rRNA from 1 species
UCCAGACUCCUACGGGAGGCAGCAGUGGGGAAUAUUGCACAAUGGGGGGAACCCUGAUGCAGCGACGCCGCGUGGGUGAAGGAGCACCUCGGUGCGUAAAGCCCUAUCGGCAGGGAAGAAAAGCGAACAGGUUCGCCUGGACGGUACCUGACUAAGAAGCCCCGGCUAACUACGUGCCAGCAGCCGCGGUAAUACGUGGGGGGCAAGCGUUAUCCGGAUUCACUGGGUGUAAAGGGAGCGUAGACGGCGACGCAAGUCUGGAGUGAAAGCCCGGGGCCCAACCGCGGAACUGCUUUGGGAACUGUUUUGCUGGAGUAUGGGAGGGGUAAGCGGAAUUCCUGGUGUAGCGGUGAAAUGCGUAGAUAUCGGGAGGAACACCGGUGGCGAAGGCGGCUUACUGGACCAUAACUGACGUUGAGGCUCGAAAGCGUGGGGAGCGAACAGGAUUAGAUACCCCAGUA